CCUACGAGAGUCAGCAGUGAGGAAUAUUGGUCAAUGGCCGGAAGGCUGAACCAGCCAAGCCGCGUGAAGGACGAAGGUUCCAAGCAUUGUAACCUUCUUUUGUCAAGUGACAAAAUCAGGCUCGAGAGCCUGACCGAGGGUACUUGAAGAAAAAGCAUCGGCUAACUCCGUGCCAGCCGCCGCGGUAAUACGGAGGAUGCGAACGUUAUCCGGAUUUAGUGGGUGUAAGGGGUGCGUAGGCGGACAGUUAAGGCAGCGGUAAAACCACGGUGCUCAACCCCGGCGAGCCGUUGAAACUGGCUGUCUUGAGAUGUCGAGAGGUAUGCGGAAUGCGCAGUGUAGCGGUGAAAUGCUUAGAUAUUGCGCAGAACUCCGAUUGCGAAGGCAGCAUACCGGCGGCGAUCUGACGCUGAGGCACGAAAGCGUGGGUAUCGAACAGGAUUAGAUACCCCUGUAGUC
rnacentral:rRNA from 1 species